UACGAGAGGCCCAAACGUUAUUCGGAAUUACUGGGCUUAAAGAGUUCGUAGGCGGCGCAGAAAGUAGGGUGUGAAAGCCCUCGGCUCAACCGAGGAAUUGCGCUCUAAACUACUGUGCUUGAGGAAGCUAGAGGUGAGCGGAACUGAUGGUGGAGCGGUGAAAUGCGUUGAUAUCAUCAGGAACACCGGGAGGCGAAGGCGGCUCACUUGGGGGCUUUUCUGACGCUGAGGAACGGAAAGCCAGGGGAGCGAACGGG
rnacentral:rRNA from 1 species